rnacentral:rRNA from 1 species
UUUCUCUAAGGUUUAAGGUUAGAGUAAUUCCUGCCCUCUGAUUUAGGUUAAAUGGCCGCAGUAUCUUGACUGUGCUAAGGUAGCAUAAUGAUUUGGUUUUUAAAUGGGAUCUGGGAUGAAGGGAGUAACACUGUUUAGCUGUCUUAAUUUUAUGUGUUGAAUUUAGUAAUUUGGUAAAAAUACUAGAGGAGUUUUGAGGGGCGAUAAGACCCUAUAAAUCUUUACUAGCAUAUUGGGUCUCAGUGAGUACUAUGGGGAGGGGUAAGUUAGUUUUGCUGGGGCGGCAUUUUAUUUCUUAAGAGAGUUUAUGUUAUGAUCCAGUAGUACUGAUUAGUAGAGUAAGUUACUUUAGGGAUAACAGGAUGAUUCUUUCAGGGAGUUCAAAUCGAAGAGAGAGUUUGUUACCUCGAUGUUGAAUUAAUUUUUUGUGGGGGGGGAGAGGCUCCUAAUGUUAGUCUGUUCGACUAUUAGAAAGUUACGUGAUCUGAGUUCAAACCGGAGA